rnacentral:rRNA from 1 species
UACAUAGGGGGCAAGCGUUAUCCGGAUUUAUUGGGCGUAAAGCGCGCGCAGGUGGUUUCUUAAGUCUGAUGUGAAAGCCCCCGGCUCAACCGGGGAGGGUCAUUGGAAACUGGGAGACUUGAGUGCAGAAGAGGAAAGUGGAAUUCCAAGUGUAGCGGUGAAAUGCGUAGAGAUUUGGAGGAACACCAGUGGCGGAGGCGACUUUCUGGUCUGUAACUGACACUGAGGCGCGAAAGCAUGGGUAGCGAACAGG